UACGGAGGGUGCAAGCGUUAUUCGGAAUUACUGGGCGUAAAGCGUGCGUAGGUGGUUCGUUAAGUCCGUUGUGAAAGCCCCGAGCUCAACUUGGGAAUUGCAGUGGAUACUGGCGAGCUGGAGUGCGGUAGAGGAAGGUGGAAUUCCCGGUGUAGCGGUGAAAUACGUAGAGAUCGGGAGGAACACCAGUGGCGAAGGCGGCCUUCUGGACCAGCACUGACACUCAAGCACGAAAGCGUGGGGAGCAAACAGG
rnacentral:rRNA from 1 species